rnacentral:lncRNA from 1 species
AUGAGGAGAGCCCCAUGUGGGAUUACAGACUUGCUGGGAAUGGAUGAGAAACCUUCUGCUCUGCUGGAGUUUGUAUUGGGUCUCAGGUCCAGCUGCUGGGAUGCAAUAAACAGCAACAAUCCAAUUAUUGAGGAUAAAUAUAGGAGCCAGUUGGUUUGCCAAGUCAUCCUCCCCUCUCAAGGUAAGGAAGGGAAAAGAAAGCAGGAAACAUUGGAAAGAUACAUGGAGUCUUUCCUAUGAAGAGAGAUUUAGACCACUGAUUGACAUUCAUACCUGUGGAAGUGAAGUGUCAGUCCUGGAAGAACUGAAGGCAUUUACACACCAGGAAAUGGUUACCUCAAUUUACUGGAUCUGGAUUAAUUCCUAACCGUAAGUUCUUUCAGACAUUUUUUUUUGUUUUAUUUUUACUAUUGAAGAAAACUGAAAAGUGAAAUUCCAUUUAUAGAAUUCCACUUCAUAAUAAAUUUAGGAGAACAUGAAUGCCUU